ACGAGUAUAGUUAAGUAGGUAUAGCAUCUACCUUCCAAGUAGAGAUCAUCAGUUCGAAUCUGAUUACUCGUA
rnacentral:tRNA from 1 species